AGGUUACUUCAAUUUCUUGCGUCUUCCUGCCUUUUCUUCUCUGCUUAAUAAGUCCAAGAGUUGGUAUGCGAUAAUUGUUCCUUUCCUGCAAAAAUUCUUCAAUAUUUAUCACUUUCAUGUUUUAUUUUCAUUGUCUUCAGAUUCUUUUAGUAACAGCUGGUAUCCACUCACUGCAUAUUCUCUGCCAAGAGCAAUGUCAGAUAAUGGAGGAAUGGAGGAUUAGCAUGUUGAAUUAUCAAGAAAAUGAUUACAAUUUCUGUCUUCAUGGAUAUGAUAAGAAGAGCGAAAUACUCACUCUCGGCACCUCCAAGCUGAGCGACUGCAUCAAUGAAUCGCUGGUGAAGCUCCGGAGUCCAUUUCAGUCUCGGCUUUGGAUCACUGGAUAAAACCAGGGUCGAAGGAAUCAAAGAAUCUAUCUAUAGAUUUAAAGACAAAGUUGCCGUAUUUACGUUAUCAAGAAGUUCUGUAUGGGGAGAUAAGACUUUUAAGAGCGUAGAAAAUCAAACAUUUCAUAACUAGUAUACGUAGCUGGCUAUCAUUAAUUCAUUAUUCGUACAUAUUCCUGUUCUUUCUUCUGUUUUUUCAUGCUAUCAUCGGAUAGAAUUAAAGUAUAUUCCUCUACCAUACUAUACUAUGUAAUACGUGUGAAGAUGGGGUUACAAUUUAGAACAAAUGUAUUUUAUAACGACAAACACUAACAAGAAAUCCUAUACCCUUAGUUGUCUGUUUUCAUAUUUUGUUUGAUAAUAAUUCAGAUUAUUGGACUAA